rnacentral:rRNA from 1 species
AUUGAACGCUGGCGGCAGGCCUAACACAUGCAAGUCGAACGAGUGGCGGACGGGUGAGGAAUACAUCGGAAUCUACUCUGUCGUGGGGGAUAACGUAGGGAAACUUACGCUAAUACCGCAUACGAUUGAAUGAGCCGAGGUCGGAUUAGCUAGUUGGCGGGGUAACGGCCCACCAAGGCGACGAUCCGUAGCUGGUCUGAGAGGAUGAUCGGCCACACUGGAACUGAGACACGGUCCAGACUCCUACGGGAGGCAGCAGUGGGGAAUAUUGGACAAUGGACGCAAGCCUGAUCCAGCCAUACCGCGUGGGUGAAGAAGGCCUUCGGGUUGUAAAGCCCUUUUGUUGGGAAAGCGGUACCCAAAGAGUAAGCACCGGCUAACUUCGUGCCAGCAGCCGCGGUAAUAC